GGAUCCAGACUUUGAUCAUGGCUCAGGAUGAACGCUAGCUACAGGCUUAACACAUGCAAGUCGAGGGGAAACGACAUCGAAAGCUUGCUUUUGAUGGGCGUCGACCGGCGCACGGGUGAGUAACGCGUAUCCAACCUGCCCACCACUUGGGGAUAACCUUGCGAAAGUAAGACUAAUACCCAAUGAUAUCUCUAGAAGACAUCUGAAAGAGAUUAAAGAUUUAUCGGUGAUGGAUGGGGAUGCGUCUGAUUAGCUUGUUGGCGGGGUAACGGCCCACCAAGGCAACGAUCAGUAGGGGUUCUGAGAGGAAGGUCCCCCACAUUGGAACUGAGACACGGUCCAAACUCCUACGGGAGGCAGCAGUGAGGAAUAUUGGUCAAUGGACGAGAGUCUGAACCAGC
rnacentral:rRNA from 1 species